GAUGAACGCUGACAGAAUGCUUAACACAUGCAAGUCAACUUGAAUUUGGGUUUUUAACUUAGGUUUGGGUGGCGGACGGGUGAGUAACGCGUAAAGAACUUGCCUCACAGCUAGGGACAACAUUUGGAAACGAAUGCUAAUACCUAAUAUUAUGAUAAUAGGGCAUCCUAUAAUUAUGAAAGCUAUAAGCGCUGUGAGAGAGCUUUGCGUCCCAUUAGCUGGUUGGAGAGGUAACGGCUCACCAAGGCGAUGAUGGGUAGCCGGCCUGAGAGGGUGAUCGGCCACAAGGGGACUGAGACACGGCCCUUACUCCUACGGGAGGCAGCAGUGGGGAAUAUUGGACAAUGGACCGAGAGUCUGAUCCAGCAAUUCUGUGUGCACGAUGAAGUUUUUCGGAAUGUAAAGUGCUUUCAGUUGGGAAGAAACAAAUGACGGUACCAACAGAAGAAGUGACGGCUAAAUACGUG
rnacentral:rRNA from 1 species